UGGGGAAUAUUGGACAAUGGGGGCAACCCUGAUCCAGCCAUGCCGCGUGAGUGAUGAAGGGCCUUCGGGUUGUAAAGCUCUUUUGGCGGGGACGAUGAUGACGGUACCCGCAGAAUAAGCCCCGGCUAACUUCGUGCCAGCAGCCGCGGUAAGACGAAGGGGGCUAGCGUUGUUCGGAAUUACUGGGCGUAAAGCGAGUGUAGGCGGUUGCCGUAGUCAGGUGUGAAAGCCUUGAGCUCAACUCAAGAAAUGCACUUGAUACUGGGUGACUAGAGGACCGGAGAGGAUAGUGGAAUUCCCAGUGUAGUGGUGAAAUACGUAGAGAUUGGGAAGAACACCAGUGGCGAAGGCGGCUAUCUGGACGGUUACUGACGCUAAGACUCGAAAGCGUGGGGAGCAAAACAGGAUUAGAUACCCUGGUAGUCCACGCCGUAAACGAUGGGUGCUAGACGUUGGCGAGCUUGCUCGUCAGUGUCGCAGCUAACGCGUUAAGCACCCCGCCUGGGGAGUACGG
rnacentral:rRNA from 1 species